AGUGAACGCUGGCGGUAGGCCUAACACAUGCAAGUCGAACGGCAGCACAGUAAGAGCUUGCUCUUACGGGUGGCGAGUGGCGGACGGGUGAGGAAUACAUCGGAAUCUACUUUUUCGUGGGGGAUAACGUAGGGAAACUUACGCUAAUACCGCAUACGACCUACGGGUGAAAGGAGGGGAUCUUCGGACCUUGCGCGAUUGAAUGAGCCGAUGUCGGAUUAGCUAGUUGGCGGGGUAAAGGCCCACCAAGGCGACGAUCCGUAGCUGGUCUGAGAGGAUGAUCAGCCACACUGGAACUGAGACACGGUCCAGACUCCUACGGGAGGCAGCAGUGGGGAAUAUUGGACAAUGGGCGCAAGCCUGAUCCAGCCAUACCGCGUGGGUGAAGAAGGCCUUCGGGUUGUAAAGCCCUUUUGUUGGGAAAGAAAAGCAGUAGGUUAAUACCCCGCUGUUCUGACGGUACCCAAAGAAUAAGCACCGGCUAACUUCGUG
rnacentral:rRNA from 1 species